GGUUAAGCGACUAAGCGUACACGGUGGAUGCCCUGGCAGUCAGAGGCGAUGAAGGACGUGCUAAUCUGCGAAAAGCGUCGGUAAGGUGAUAUGAACCGUUAUAACCGGCGAUGUCCGAAUGGGGAAACCCAGUGCAAUUCGUUGCACUAUCGUUAACUGAAUACAUAGGUUAACGAGGCGAACCGGGGGAACUGAAACAUCUAAGUACCCCGAGGAAAAGAAAUCAACCGAGAUUCCCCCAGUAGCGGCGAGCGAACGGGGAGCAGCCCAGAGUCUGAAUCAGCUUGUGUGUUAGUGGAACGGUCUGGAAAGUCCGACGGUACAGGGUGAUAGUCCCGUACACCAAAAUGCACAGGUUGUGAACUCGAAGAGUAGGGCGGGACACGUGGUAUCCUGUCUGAAUAUGGGGGGACCAUCCUCCAAGGCUAAAUACUCCUGACUGACCGAUAGUGAACCAGUACCGUGAGGGAAAGGCGAAAAGAACCCCGGCGAGGGGAGUGAAAAAGAACCUGAAACCGUGUACGUACAAGCAGUGGGAGCACCUUCGGGUGUGACUGCGUACCUUUUGUAUAAUGGGUCAGCGACUUAUAUUCUGUAGCAAGGUUAACCGUAUAGGGGAGCCGCAGGGAAACCGAGUCUUAACUGGGCGUUAAGUUGCAGGGUAUAGACCCGAAACCCGGUGAUCUAGCCAUGGGCAGGUUGAAGGUUGGGUAACACUAACUGGAGGACCGAACCGACUAAUGUUGAAAAAUUAGCGGAUGACUUGUGGCUGGGGGUGAAAGGCCAAUCAAACCGGGAGAUAGCUGGUUCUCCCCGAAAGCUAUUUAGGUAGCGCCUCGUGAACUCAUCUUCGGGGGUAGAGCACUGUUUCGGCUAGGGGGUCAUCCCGACUUACCAACCCGAUGCAAACUACGAAUACCGAAGAAUGUUAUCACGGGAGACACACGGCGGGUGCUAACGUCCGUCGUGAAGAGGGAAACAACCCAGACCGCCAGCUAAGGUCCCAAAGUCAUGGUUAAGUGGGAAACGAUGUGGGAAGGCACAGACAGCCAGGAUGUUGGCUUAGAAGCAGCCAUCAUUUAAAGAAAGCGUAAUAGCUCACUGGUCGAGUCGGCCUGCGCGGAAGAUGUAACGGGGCUAAACCAUGCACCGAAGCUGCGGCAGCGACACUAUGUGUUGUUGGGUAGGGGAGCGUUCUGUAAGCCUGCGAAGGUGACCUGUGAGGGUUGCUGGAGGUAUCAGAAGUGCGAAUGCUGACAUAAGUAACGAUAAAGCGGGUGAAAAGCCCGCUCGCCGGAAGACCAAGGGUUCCUGUCCAACGUUAAUCGGGGCAGGGUGAGUCGACCCCAAGGCGAGGCCGAAAGGCGUAGUCGAUGGGAAACAGGUUAAUAUUCCUGUACUUGGUGUUACUGCGAAGGGGGGACGGAGAAGGCUAUGUUAGCCGGGCGACGGUUGUCCCGGUUUAAGCAUGUAGGCUGGUUGUCCAGGCAAAUCCGGAUAAUCAAGGCUGAGGUGUGAUGACGAGGCACUACGGUGCUGAAGUAACAAAUGCCCUGCUUCCAGGAAAAGCCUCUAAGCAUCAGGUAACAUUAAAUCGUACCCCAAACCGACACAGGUGGUCAGGUAGAGAAUACCAAGGCGCUUGAGAGAACUCGGGUGAAGGAACUAGGCAAAAUGGUGCCGUAACUUCGGGAGAAGGCACGCUGGUGUGUAGGUGAAGCCCCUGCGGGUGGAGCUGAGACCAGUCGAAGAUACCAGCUGGCUGCAACUGUUUAUUAAAAACACAGCACUGUGCAAACACGAAAGUGGACGUAUACGGUGUGACGCCUGCCCGGUGCCGGAAGGUUAAUUGAUGGGGUUAUCCGUAAGGAGAAGCUCUUGAUCGAAGCCCCGGUAAACGGCGGCCGUAACUAUAACGGUCCUAAGGUAGCGAAAUUCCUUGUCGGGUAAGUUCCGACCUGCACGAAUGGCGUAAUGAUGGCCAGGCUGUCUCCACCCGAGACUCAGUGAAAUUGAACUCGCUGUGAAGAUGCAGUGUACCCGCGGCAAGACGGAAAGACCCCGUGAACCUUUACUAUAGCUUGACACUGAACAUUGAGCCUUGAUGUGUAGGAUAGGUGGGAGGCUUUGAAGCGUGGACGCCAGUCUGCGUGGAGCCAACCUUGAAAUACCACCCUUUAAUGUUUGAUGUUCUAACGUUGGCCCCUUACCGGGGUUGCGGACAGUGUCUGGUGGGUAGUUUGACUGGGGCGGUCUCCUCCUAAAGCGUAACGGAGGAGCACGAAGGUUAGCUAAUCCUGGUCGGACAUCAGGAGGUUAGUGCAAUGGCAUAAGCUAGCUUGACUGCGAGCGUGACGGCGCGAGCAGGUGCGAAAGCAGGUCAUAGUGAUCCGGUGGUUCUGAAUGGAAGGGCCAUCGCUCAACGGAUAAAAGGUACUCCGGGGAUAACAGGCUGAUACCGCCCAAGAGUUCAUAUCGACGGCGGUGUUUGGCACCUCGAUGUCGGCUCAUCACAUCCUGGGGCUGAAGUAGGUCCCAAGGGUAUGGCUGUUCGCCAUUUAAAGUGGUACGCGAGCUGGGUUUAGAACGUCGUGAGACAGUUCGGUCCCUAUCUGCCGUGGGCGCUGGAGAAUUGAGGGGGGCUGCUCCUAGUACGAGAGGACCGGAGUGGACGCAUCACUGGUGUUCGGGUUGUCAUGCCAAUGGCACUGCCCGGUAGCUAAAUGCGGAAGAGAUAAGUGCUGAAAGCAUCUAAGCACGAAACUUGCCCCGAGAUGAGUUCUCCCUGAGACUUUAAGUCUCCUGAAGGAACGUUGAAGACGACGACGUUGAUAGGCCGGGUGUGUAAGCGCAGCGAUGCGUUGAGCUAACCGGUACUAAUGAACCGUGAGGCUUAACCUU
rnacentral:rRNA from 1 species